GUUUCCGUAGGUGAACCUGCCGGUGGAUCAACGACAAAUCAUGAAACUUACUACUCGUGACCGCCUAGUCGGAGCGGAUUCCUUUGCGUGGUGUGGUGCGGAAGUCGUUUCAGACAAGUACUUCCGCACACCCACGUAUUGAGAUCUACCGUCUAGCGCGUGUCGCCCACACCUUGUGUGUGGGCACCCACUAUCUUAUUGAAUUGACAAACGAUCUGACUAUUUUUAGCGGUGGAUCACUUGGAUCGCAGAUCGAUGAAGAACACAGCAAACUGUGUUACUUGGUGAAAUAUGCAAGAAACGCUAAGUAUUUCGAACGCACUGCGCCGUUGGUGCUUCUGUACCUCCGGCACGUAUGUCUGAGAUUGUAAUUGUACUUCGAUCGAGUUCACGCUCAAUCGUUACACUGGUGUUUCUCGCGAGACGCUGUAUGUGGUUGCGCAGUGGCCGGCCUUCACGGGCUGGUAGCUGUGUGUUAGCCCGUCGAACAUCCUUGUGGAGACUAUGUUCCGCUUGCGGUCGUGGUUACCACGCGGGGGCGUUCGGCGUUCGGCUUACCUGUCGAUUUGAUACUCAGACAUGCGUGAUUACCCGCUGAACUUAAGCAUAU
rnacentral:misc_RNA from 1 species